rfam:Edwardsiella ictaluri 93-146, complete genome.
CACCGACAUCAGCGAUUCGUUUUGUGAGCCCUGACCGACGGCCAGAUAGGCAUUCAUGCCCAGCUCUUUCAUCUGCUGCUCGCCGAUCACCCGGGUGGUGACGGCGCCGGCAUAGUUGUCGGCCAGCUGACGCGCCUGAGAGGCCAGGUAUCCCGCGUUACAGAUAUUGGGAGGCAUGUUGCCGAGAUCUUUGGC